rnacentral:misc_RNA from 1 species
AAAGAAGACGUGCAAAUAAUUCUCCAUCCACAAAAGCAAAUGUCAAGGAAUAUACUCUGUUGCUCAGAAGUAUUUGGAUUGCAUAUUUUUGUCAAAAUUGAAGUAUCCAGCUACUUAUGGGCAACAGUGUAUUUGGGAGAACCUACCCUGCCUCCACUAUUACCUGUUUCAUCACAAGCGAACCAUCUGCAAUGACGAGGAAUAUUCGUAUAAAGCCAACAAGAACCAAGAAUCAAAUCGCGAUCCAAUAAAUUAUAUCACGCUAAGCUCAUUCAUAAAAGAAACGAAAUACGGGAGAAACGAAAAAGCGAGAAUACAAAGCACAGUGAAGUAUCAUAACAAAAUGUGGCGACGAGUGGCCGAGGAAUUAGCAAAUUAGCCAGGGUUUGACGUCAAGAACAAUUCACGAAGAAUCAUUGCUCGUUACGCGUACCACGCGCCGCUUAUAUCGAUCAAUUACCCUAUGGAAAAGUCGUGCACGUGCAGUGGUGAGCAUGUUCAUCGCAACUUUACCAGGUCAAGAUCACAAAGAACAGGCAAGUUCAGUCUCAGAUGGCUCAAAUCGUCCGUUCUGUCGUAUAGUUUUAGACGUUGCAAGUGGAUCGAUUUAGUAGAAACGGAUUUUAUGAAAUAGAUUUGAAAGAUCGAGUAAUAGGAGACACGUUCGAGUCGAGGAAAUAACGCGAAACUCACUGAAAGAAGAGACAAGGUGCGGAAGGGACUGCCAACCAACUCCCACCUCCGGCUGCGCACCCCGGAAACCGUAACGCGACUCGAGCUACCGCAGUGCGCAACAACCCCUCAACUUACCUUCACUGAUCCCGUGGAAUUCGUAGAGUUGGAUUUUAAAGGUAACCAAGGUGCCAUUGGCAAAUAUUUGGAGAUUUAGUAUUUGUUAAUUUGAAUGAUUGUGGUCCAAGGAAACACUGGACAUUUUAUUUUAGACAAGUUGAAAUGUCAAUAGUUUAAGGGUUCUCUCUAAUUCUCCAAAUUCUUGGAUUUUUAAACCUUUAUAUUUCCA